GAUGAACGCUGGCGGCGUGCCUAAUACAUGCAAGUAGAACGCUGAAGGAGGAGCUUGCUUCUCUGGAUGAGUUGCGAACGGGUGAGUAACGCGUAGGUAACCUGCCUGGUAGCGGGGGAUAACUAUUGGAAACGAUAGCUAAUACCGCAUAAUAUUGACUAUUGCAUGAUAGUCAGUUGAAAGGUGCAACUGCACCACUACCAGAUGGACCUGCGUUGUAUUAGCUAGUUGGUGGGGUAACGGCUCACCAAGGCGACGAUACAUAGCCGACCUGAGAGGGUGAUCGGCCACACUGGGACUGAGACACGGCCCAGACUCCUACGGGAGGCAGCAGUAGGGAAUCUUCGGCAAUGGACGGAAGUCUGACCGAGCAACGCCGCGUGAGUGAAGAAGGUUGUCGGAUCGUAAAGCUCUGUUGUAAGAGAAGAACGAGUGUGAGAGUGGAAAGCUCACACUGUGACGGUAUCUUACCAGAAAGGGACGGCUAACUACGUG
rnacentral:rRNA from 1 species